rnacentral:rRNA from 1 species
UCAGAGUACGAUAUGGUUCACAUGGCCUGGUUAGUACUUGGAUGGGAGACCACAAGGAAUACCAGGUGUCAGUAUGAU